rnacentral:tRNA from 1 species
GGGCGCGUAGCUCAGCUGGUUAGAGCAUCCGGCUUAUAUCCGGACGGUCCCUGGUUCGAAUCCAGGCGCGCCCA